UACGAAAGUUGGGGCUCAGAUCCCCUCUCCGAGCUCAGGGUAACUUUUGAAGUGGAAGGGAC
rnacentral:ncRNA from 1 species